rnacentral:rRNA from 1 species
ACAUGCUGUGAGCUCGAUGAGUAGGGCGGGACACGUGGUAUCCUGUCUGAAUAUGGGGGGACCAUCCUCCAAGGCUAAAUACUCCUGACUGACCGAUAGUGAACCAGUACCGUGAGGGAAAGGCGAAAAGAACCCCGGCGAGGGGAGUGAAAAAGAACCUGAAACCGUGUACGUACAAGCAGUGGGAGCACAGAGCAAUCUGUGUGACUGCGUACCUUUUGUAUAAUGGGUCAGCGACUUAUAUUCUGUAGCAAGGUUAACCGAAUAGGGGAGCCGAAGGGAAACCGAGUCUUAACUGGGCGUUAAGUUGCAGGGUAUAGACCCGAAACCCGGUGAUCUAGCCAUGGGCAGGUUGAAGGUUGGGUAACACUAACUGGAGGACCGAACCGACUAAUGUUGAAAAAUUAGCGGAUGACUUGUGGCUGGGGGUGAAAGGCCAAUCAAACCGGGAGAUAGCUGGUUCUCCCCGAAAGCUAUUUAGGUAGCGCCUCGUGAAUUCAUCUCCGGGGGUAGAGCACUGUUUCGGCAAGGGGGUCAUCCCGACUUACCAACCCGAUGCAAACUGCGAAUACCGGAGAAUGUUAUCACGGGAGACACACGGCGGGUGCUAACGUCCGUCGUGAAGAGGGAAACAACCCAGACCGCCAGCUAAGGUCCCAAAGUCAUGGUUAAGUGGGAAACGAUGUGGGAAGGCCCAGACAGCCAGGAUGUUGGCUUAGAAGCAGCCAUCAUUUAAAGAAAGCGUAAUAGCUCACUGGUCGAGUCGGCCUGCGCGGAAGAUGUAACGGGGCUAAACCAUGCACCGAAGCUGCGGCAGCGACACUGUGUGUUGUUGGGUAGGGGAGCGU